rnacentral:lncRNA from 1 species
AAGGAUUCGCUCACUAGCAAGCGCAUCCAGUGAUGAGCACAGUUCUGUAAGAGUAAAUUAAUGACAUUUUAACAAGUCAAGAGCACGGUAGCAAUUUUGUUAGCUGGAGUGGAGAAUAGCAAACAUGGAUAAAAUACAUUUUCUGGCGUUAUUGGUCAUUAUAGUAUCAGGGAUUGAACUAACGACCACUCUAACUACAACUACAAACAAAAGUACAACAAAACCAACAACAACCGCAACAACUAAAGGUUCUAGCACAACUUCUACAACCCCAAAAACAACUACAACAACUAAACCCCAAACGACCACAACUACAGCCAAAACUACUACAAAGCAAGCAACAACUGCAACAACUAAAGGUUCUAGCACAACAUCAACAACACAAAAAACAACUACAACGACUAAACCCCAAACGACCACAACUACAGCCAAAACUACUACAAAGCAAGCAAAAACUGCAACAACUAAAGGUUCUAGCACAACUUCUACAACCCAAAAAACAACUACAACAACUAAACCCCAAACGACCACAACUACAGCCAAAACUACUACAAAGCAAAAAACAACUGCAACAACUAAAGGUUCUAGCACGACAUCUACAACCCAAAAAACAUCUACAACAACUAAACCCCAAACGACCUCUACUACAACCAAAACUACUACAAAGCCAACAACAACUGCAACAACAAAAGGUUCUAGCACAACUUCUACAACCCAAAAAACAACUACAACAACUAAACCCCAAACGACCACAACUACAGCCAAAACUACUACAAAGCCAACAACAACUGCAACAACAAAAGGUUCUAGCACGACAUCUACAACCCAAAAAACAUCUACAACAACUAAACCCCAAACGACCUCUACUACAACCAAAACUACUACAAAGCCAACAACUACAACAAUUAAAGCUUCUAGUACGACUUCUACAACCCCCCAAAAAAAUACAACUACUAAGCCCCAAACGACCACAAGAGCAAAGACCAAAAGUACUACAAAGUCAAAAACAACUGCAACAAGUAAAGUUUCUAGCACGACUUCUACAACCAUAAAACCAACUACAACUGCUAAGCCUCAAACUACACCAGAACAAACAGCAAAGAUUACCCAAGGAACCAGUGAAGCCAAGACAACAAUCCCAGAUGCACAGACUACUGCAGAGAAACAAGCAAUAAUCACUGUUGCUGAGCCUACAACAACAAAACAACCUGAAACAACUAUAGAAGAAAAAACAACAAAGAUUACUCAGGCCGAGACAACAAUAGCAGAGACACAGACUACUUCACAAAAACAAACGACAAUAACUAUUCCUGAGCCUACAACAACACAGCCCCAAACAACAACAAUCACUGUUGCUGAGCCUACAACAAAACAACCCCAAACAACAACAAUCACUGUUGCUGAGCCUACAACAAAACAACCUGAAACAACUAAACCAGAACAAACAGCAAAGAUUACUCAGGCCGAGACAACAUUCAAAGCAGCACAGACUACUACUGAAAAACAAACAACAAUAACUAUUCCUAAACCUACAACAACACAACCCCAAACAACAACAAUCACUGUUGCUGAGCCUACAACAAAACAACCCCAAACAACAACAAUCACUGUUGCUGAGCCUACAACAAAACAACCUGAAACAACUAAACCAGAACAAACAGCAAAGAUUACUCAGGCCGAGACAACAUUCAAAGCAGCACAGACUACUACUGAAAAACAAACAACAAUAACUAUUCCUAAACCUACAACAACACAACCCCAAACAACAACAAUCAGUGUUGCUGAGCCUACAACAACACAACCCCAAACAACAACAAGCACUGUUGCUGAGCCUACAACAACACAACCUGAAACAACACCAGAAAAAACAACAGCAACAAUUACUCAGUCCGAGUCAACAUUCAAAGCGGUACAGAUUACGACGGAAAAACAAACAACAAUAACAGUUCCUGAACCUACAACAACACAGCCCCAUACAACAACAAUCACUGUUGCUGAGCCUACAACAACACAACCUGAAACAACACCAGAAAAAACAACAGAAACGAUUACUCAGACCGAGACAACAUUCAAAGCGGCACAGACUACGACUGAAAAACAAACAACAAUAACUAUUCCUGAGCCUACAACAACACAACCCCAAACAACAACAAUCAACGUUGCUGAACCUACAACAAAACAACCUGAAACAACACCAGAAAAAACAACAGAAACGAUUACUCAGACUGAGACAACAUUCAAAGCGGCACAGACUACUACUGAAAAACAAACAACAAUAACUAUUCCUGAGCCUAGAACAACACAACCCCAAACAACAACAAUCACUGUUGCUGAACCUACAACAAAACAACCUGAAACAACACCAGAAAAAACAACAGAAACGAUUACUCAGACCGAGACAACAUUCAAAGCGGCACAGACUACUACUGAAAAACAAUCAACAAUAACUGUUCUUGAGCCUACAACAACACAACCCCAAACAACAACAAUCACUGUUGCUGAGCCUACAACAACACAACCCCAAACAACAACAAUCACUGUUGCUGAGCCUACAGCAAAACAACCUGAAACAACACCAGAAAAAAACAACAGAAACGAUUAA